CCGGUUGAUCCUGGCGGAGGUCACUGCUAUCGGGGUUCGAUUAAGCCAUGCGAGUCGAGAGGGUUCGGCCCUCGGCGUACUGCUCAGUAACACGUGGAUAACCUGCCCUAAGGAAGGGGAUACCCUCGGGAAACUGAGGAUAAUACCCUAUAGGUUACCGAUGCUGGAAUGCUCGGUAACUCAAAGUUCCGGCGCCUUAGGAUGGAUCUGCGGCCGAUUAGGUAGUUGUUGGGGUAACGGCCCAACAAGCCCGUAAUCGGUACGGGUUGUGGGAGCAAGAGCCCGGAGUUGGAUUCUGAGACACGAAUCCAGGCCCUACGGGGCGCAGCAGGCGCGAAAACUUUACAAUGCGGGCAACCGUGAUAAGGGAACCUCGAGUGCCUGUACAUGCAGGCUGUCUGGGUGUCUAAAACACACCCAAAGAAAGGGCCGGGCAAGACCGGUGCCAGCCGCCGCGGUAAUACCGGCGGCUCGAGUGGUGGCCACUUUUAUUGGGCUUAAAGCGUUCGUAGCUGGGUUGUUAAGUCUCUUGGGAAAUCCGGCGGCUUAACCGUCGGGCGUCUAAGAGAUACUGGCAAUCUUGGAACCGGGAGAGGUGAGGGGUACUUCGGGGGUAGGAGUGAAAUCCUGUAAUCCUCGAGGGACCACCUGUGGCGAAGGCGCCUCACCAGAACGGCUUCGACAGUGAGGGACGAAAGCUGGGGGAGCAAACCGGAUUAGAUACCCGGGUAGUCCCAGCCGUAAACGAUGUGCGUUAGGUGUAUCGACGACCACGAGUCGUCGAGGUGCCGAAGGGAAACCGUGAAACGUACCGCCUGGGAAGUACGGUCGCAAGGCUGAAACUUAAAGGAAUUGGCGGGGGAGCACCACAACAGGUGGAGCCUGCGGUUUAAUUGGACUCAACGCCGGGAAGCUCACCGGAUAGGACAGCGGAAUGAUUGCCGGGCUGAAGACUCUGCAUGACUAGCUGAGAGGAGGUGCAUGGCCGUCGUCAGUUCGUACUGUGAAGCAUCCUGUUAAGUCAGGCAACGAGCGAGACCCA
rnacentral:rRNA from 1 species